UACGUAGGGUGCGAGCGUUAAUCGGAAUUACUGGGCGGAAAGCGUGCGCAGGCGGUUCGUGAUGUCUGGUGUGAAAGCCCCGGGCUUAACCUGGGAAUUGCAUUGGAAACUAGCGGGCUGGAGUGUGGCAGAGGGGGGUGGAAUUCCGCGUGUAGCAGUGAAAUGCGUAGAGAUGCGGAGGAACACCGAUGGCGAAGGCAGCCCCCUGGGUCGACACUGACGCUCAGGCACGAAAGCGUGGGGAGCAAACAGG
rnacentral:rRNA from 1 species